rnacentral:sRNA from 1 species
UAGAUAUAAAUGAAUGUGUUGAUCCUGCCCUAAACAACUGCAACCCACUUAUUGAAGAUUGUGUCAAUAACUUUGGUAGUCAUGUCUGCAACUGUAAGCCUGGAUAUGCAAGAAAUGAUAAAGGGAACUGCACUAAUAUCAAUGAAUGUGCUAAUGGGGACCAUCAAUGUCAACAAAUCUGUAUUGAUGUGCCUGGAAAAUAUAACUGUGAUUGUAACUAUGGAUAUAGAUUAAAUGAUGAUAGGCUAACCUGUCUACAAGUGAAAGAUGUCUGCAGUGAUUUUGAGAAACUGAACUGCUCUCAAGGUUGCAUAGUAGACAUUAAACAGAACACUUCAUAUUGUUUCUGUGCUGAUGGUUACCAGCUAGUUGGCAAAGACACAUGUGAAGACAUCAAUGAAUGUGAAGUAUCAACAAAGAACUUGUGCAGCUUCAAGUCUGGAUGUGUUAACAGAAUACCAGGAUACAGCUGUUCAUGUCCCCCUGGGUCGAGUUUGGACAAUGAUGGACGCAACUGCAAUAACUGUAGUACCACAACUUGGGGAGUCAAUUGUUCAAGAUCUUGUUCUUGUUCUACUGGAGCUUUACGAUGUGAUAAUGUUAGAGGAUGUAUUUGUAGACCUGGAUA